CCCCAAUCUACUAUAUCAAGUGUCUAAUGUUACUACAUUAAUUAUAACAUUAGUAAUUUGCUUCUGCAAAAAACAUAAACUUCUUUUCUUUCUUCACUCUGCCUAAUCAGUUUGUUCGAAUUCAUUUCCUGAAUGAUACAAGAUUUGGCAUUGAAAACAACAUUAUAAUCAUUAAAUUUAGUUAAUUGUGCAAUGGAAAUCAAAUUUAUCAAAAAACCAAGGACAUAGCAUACGUUUUUUUAGAUACAUGUUAUUAUUGAUUUUAACACUUCCUAUCAUGUUAAUCUCCUUAAUAGAACCAUUAGGCAAUCUAGCCAUUAUUAAAUAUCCAGAUUUAAUUAUUUUUCUGAAAUAAUUUCCUAUUUCCUGACAUAUGGGUUGAAGCAUCUGUAUCUAGUAUCCAUUUAUCUAAAUAAUUGAUAUCAUUUGAAAUAUUCACAUUAAAACAUAAAUUUAUACCUAAAGAUGAUGAUGGUUUUAUCAUCUCUUGAAAAGCCUUGACUUGAUCCGAGGUAAACCCAUAGUUGUUGUAAUUAGCAAUCGCUCUAUCAUUCAUUUGGACCAUAUUUGCUUACGCUUUUCCCUUAUCUUGAUUCCCAAAUUUGUUUCCUUUAGGAUACUCCACCAGUUCGUAGCAUAUGUCUUUAGUGUGACUGUACCUCUCACAGUGGUCAUACCAAAGAUCAGUGUUUAACUUCCUACCAUUUCUCCCAAACUCAGUAUAGGCCUUGUUUUGAUUCUUCUGUUGGUUGCUUACUUGUUUUUUCUGAUGGUUUACCUUUCUAGCUUGGUCAGAUUGCACAUAAUAGACGUUUGCUACUUCGAUGCUCUUUCUUUUGUGAAAGCUUCUGUAUUUCUCAUCUUGCUGAAUAAGUGCAAAAACCUUACUCAGACUCGGUAAAUCUUCACUGGAUGAGAGCAUUUGUCCUCUUAUUGAUAAAAACCCUCAUUAAGACCAAGUAGAAACUGUAACACUCUAUCCUCUAUUAAGAUUAUUAAGUAUCAAUAUCUAUUUAAGUUUAGUUUAAAUUAAGUUAGUAUUAUGUAAAAGGCCCAACUCAGAUGUUGGCCCACUAGAAAUUAGGGUUAUAGUAUAAAUACCAAAGUUGUAAUAAACAAUUUACUUUUAAUUCCAAUAUUCAAAUCCUAAACCCUACUUUCGUCUCCCAAUCGUCGGCUCCUCCUCUCACCGCGACUCUUGGUCGCCGAACCCUAAAAGCCAAACGCUGCUCACACUCUACUCCGGUCUCGUUCAAUCUUCAUGGUAUCAGAGUCUCGUGGAGUGCUGUGCUGCUGAUCUCACUGGGAAGCCUCCGAAACCUUCCUGGUUCAAAUCAUCUCGACUCCGUCAGGACUCCGACACUCCGACACUUCAAACAACUAAGUCUGGUAUACCUAAAGAGCUCAUUAGUUCUUCACUUGUGAUAAUAAAUAUCUAGAUGUUAUGAGGGUCAUGCAUGUUGAGCCUUCAUGGUAUCAGAGCCUUCAUGGUAUCAUGCAUGUUGAGCCUUCAUAAGCCGAUAUUUCAGAUCUAUGUUGUUAUGUGUUGCAUGUCUCCACACGUUACUUCUUAUGCCAUUACUAAGUAUAAGAUCUCAUAUAAAAAUGAAAAUCACUAAUAUAUACAUAUAUCAGAUCAUGCUAUAUUCAUGUAAAUAUGAACCGAUACAUAUAAGUCAUUGCUAUUUGCUGAUCAUCAACAAUAAGCACACAUACUCUUCAUGUAAAAUACUAAUUGAUAGAUUAGUCUACAUUAAUAUGAUAUCUAUACAUCAUACACUUG
rnacentral:lncRNA from 1 species